GACGAACGCUGGCGGCGUGCUUAACACAUGCAAGUCGAACGGAAAGGCCCUGCUCUUGUGGGGUGCUCGAGUGGCGAACGGGUGAGUAACACGUGAGUAACCUGCCCUUGACUUUGGGAUAACUUCAGGAAACUGGGGCUAAUAUCGGAUAGGAUCUCCUGCUGCAUGGUGGGGGUUGGAAAGUUUCGGCGGUUGGGGAUGGACUCGCGGCUUAUCAGCUUGUUGGUGGGGUAGUGGCUUACCAAGGCUUUGACGGGUAGCCGGCCUGAGAGGGUGACCGGCCACAUUGGGACUGAGAUACGGCCCAGACUCCAACGGUACGCAGCAGUGGGGAAUAUUGCGCAAUGGGCGGAAGCCUGAUGCAGCAACGCCGCGUGCGGGAUGACGGCCUUCGGGUUGUAAACCGCUUUCGCAUGUGACGAAGCGUGAGUGACGGUAAUGAGUAAAGAAGCACCGGCUAACUACGUG
rnacentral:rRNA from 1 species